UACGUAGGGUGCAAGCGUUGUCCGGAAUUAUUGGGCGUAAAGAGCUCGUAGGCGGUUUGUCGCGUCUGCUGUGAAAACCCGAGGCUCAACCUCGGGCCUGCAGUGGGUACGGGCAGACUAGAGUGCGGUAGGGGUGACUGGAAUUCCUGGUGUAGCGGUGGAAUGCGCAGAUAUCAGGAGGGAACACCCGGUGGCGAAGGCGGGUCUCUGGGCCGAUACUGACGCUGGAGGAGCGAAA
rnacentral:rRNA from 1 species